rnacentral:tRNA from 1 species
GGGGAAUUCGCUAUAGUGGUAGAGCGCUCGACUAGCAUGUGAGAGGUUCCGGGAUCGAUACAUGUACCUGGAUUCCCCA